rnacentral:rRNA from 1 species
AUCGAACGCUGGCGGCAGGCUUAACACAUGCAAGUCGAGCGGAGAUGAGGUGCUUGCACCUUAUCUUAGCGGCGGACGGGUGAGUAAUGCUUAGGAAUCUGCCUAUUAGUGGGGGACAACAUUCCGAAAGGAAUGCUAAUACCGCAUACGCCCUACGGGGGAAAGCAGGGGAUCUUCGGACCUUGCGCUAAUAGAUGAGCCUAAGUCGGAUUAGCUAGUUGGUGGGGUAAAGGCCUACCAAGGCGACGAUCUGUAGCGGGUCUGAGAGGAUGAUCCGCCACACUGGGACUGAGACACGGCCCAGACUCCUACGGGAGGCAGCAGUGGGGAAUAUUGGACAAUGGGCGGAAGCCUGAUCCAGCCAUGCCGCGUGUGUGAAGAAGGCCUUUUGGUUGUAAAGCACUUUAAGCGAGGAGGAGGCUACCUGGAUUAAUACUCUAGGAUAGUGGACGUUACUCGCAGAAUAAGCACCGGCUAACUCUGUGCCAGCCGCCGCCGUAA